AACGUAGGACGCAAGCGUUAUCCGGAGUUACUGGGCGUAAAGCGCGGGCAGGCGGCUCGAAACGUCUGAUGUGAAAUCUCCUCGCUCAACGGGGAGAGGCCAUUGGAAACGGUCGGGCUGGAGGGCAGUAGAGGCAGGCGGAAUUCCGGGUGGAGUGGUGAAAUGCGUAGAGAUCCGGAGGAACACCAGAGGCGAAGGCGGCCUGCUGGGCUGCACCUGACGCUGAACCGCGAAAGCUAGGGGAGCAAACGGGG
rnacentral:rRNA from 1 species